rnacentral:lncRNA from 1 species
AAUAGAUAAGUCUUGAGUCAAUCAGUACAUCUGUACCACAUUCAUGUGGCAAAUGCUGCUUUAUGGAGAUGUUUCUAAUACUGACCUACAAUAAUUCAGCCAAGAUCACGUUUCUACUGUCUUCAGGAAAUGAGAAAAAUGAAUCCAGGAAAUUUCCAUCUUUAACUAUACUCUGUAAAUGUGCUGUCCAAUACACAGAUAGCUACUGAGCACUGGAAUAUAGCUAGUCUGAAUGGAGAUGUUCUAUCAAGAAAUAGAAUAUACUGGCUUCCCAGAGCCCUUCUUUCUAGUCACAAUCCUCCCAAAGCGAGCAGUUAAAGUGAAAACAAGAUCACGGAAAAGGAGAUAUAUUUUGGUAGAUCCAAGAAUCUAUGUUUGAUAGAGUCUUCACAGAAAGAGUCGAAAUUGACAACAUGCUUAUUGCUUUGGCUUUGGAUGUUGGUUGGGAACAUGGUUCUUGAAUAUCCACACUUCAAAGUAGAUCUUACUUUUUGGAAGAGUAGAAAGCUCAUUACGUUGGUUAAUUUGAGAAGUAAGACAAGGGCUCAGAAAGGUACUAGUUAUUAGUACCUUAUACACUAGCCUGCCUGGCAUUCUUACCAUGACAGUGAAUUGUCAUGGUAAGAGUUGUGGUUUUAAACCUCUUUUCCCCAGAUGUUACAUGGAGUAAUAUAUGUAUCCACAUACAUAUUAAAGUAGGAGGUAGAUAUUAUAUUGACUGGUGACUUGAGGACAUGAUACACAAAAUAGGUAACGUUUGAUGAAGCUUGAAAUGAGCCAAGAAAGGACAAAUCUGGAUAACACACUGUAGCCUUGGUGAUGAGAAAGGAGAAAGGAAAGAUAAUGAAGAUGGGUAUCAUAUUGCUUUGCCUUGAAUUUGCAGAAAGAGAUAUUUGGAUUAUGAUGUUACCUUAAAAAAGGCAGUUGAUAUUACUCAGUGAAAGUUCAGAAGCCAAGAAAACUAUGUGUGUGUACAUAUAUGUAUAUAAUGUACAUAUGUUUAUUUCUUUUUUUAAAAAAUUCUUACCUACCUCUCUACUAUAACAAAAUUAAUUUCAUUCUUUUUUGUUGCAUUU